CAAAAGGCAUCAUCAAUUCAUCUCCAACAAAUCCCCCUUCAAUCACCGUUCUCUGGUAAUUUCUCAAUUUCCAGAAUAUUCCAAACACUUGUUUUAAUAUUUUACUCCCUGCCUUUUCUUCUGCAAUAUAUAUUUGUAUAAUAUAUACACGCACACACACACACAUUCAAAUAUAUCUGAUUCAGUCACAUGUUGAUUCGUCGUCGUCGUCUUGCUUGGUGAACGGAAAAAAAAAAAGGUGUUGAUUACGGAUUGUAUGAUUUCAAAUAUGCGAUGGAUUGUUUCGGUUUUUUGAACUUUUAAUUAAUAAUUUUAUUUUAUUUUGAAGGAAAAAUGAUGUGGGAAACGGGUUUUGGAAUCGGGUUGAUGAAUAUUUUAUCGGGUCGUGAUACUCCACCCAAAGAACUGCUCUGGUUAUCCUCUGUUUUUGCUGGGAUUUUUAUGUGCAAGAUUGUGAGUUCUCUCCCUUUCCUUCUAAUUUUGAUGCCCUUUUUGUUUUUUCUAAUAUUAAUUUGCUUGUAUUGCAUUUUAUUUUACUGGGGUUACUUUUCAUAUUUUAAAUUAUAUGGGAGUUGAAUUUAGUAGUCUUGUAAGAAUAUUUUGGAUGAGGGAAGGCAUUUGUCAACUGCAUUAAUGGUGGGUGUGGCUUUCUUUUCCGUGUGUCUGUGUGUG
rnacentral:lncRNA from 1 species